AAUUCUUAAUUUUCAAUUAUAUGAUUUUCUUUUUCUUCUACUCUUUACUUUCUAUUUUGCAUGGGAUUUUGCAAUGAGGAAAUCUCCACUUUCCAAGCAAGAGACGAAGGUUGCUUCUUUGAAGAAAUUUCCACUUGGCAUCGUAAAGGAAACCACAUUUGAUGCAUUUGGAAAGGCCAUAUACACAGGCUGCAAAAGAGAUCCAGAGACACCCAUAUAUUUGGAAUUCCUUAAAAAAGAAGCACGCUUGCCAUAGAAGGCACUGAAUGGGGGACAGCUGCCAGAGGGCCAAGGAUCUUGGGGGAUCAAAAAGAAGGGGGAUUUUCCUUCAGCAGAAAUGGGAAAGGAGCGAUUGCAGCCAAAACUGUCCAGUGUUCGAAUCUUUGUCUUUGUAUUUGGGUGUACAUUGGGGAAUGAUGGAAGUGUUGAUAUGAGGGAUGAAGUGUGCAGCAAUCUCAGUAUGUUCGGUGUUUCUGGUGAUUCUACUUUUAUGUCUCUGUGAAUUCCACUACAACCUAUCUAAUUUUCUAAGGAUUUUUUUGUGUUAAUGGAUGAAAGCUCAAAUAUUGGAUAGUUGAUUCCAAGGUAUUGUAGUGAACUGGAGAAACUGGAGGUAGCGUCCUAGACUUACUUCUGGGUUACACCCAUGGAUUAUGAUGACAAUGAUUUUCAAAGCCAAAAUCUUCGGUUAGCUGGUGAAGGGAGUGCCAAAUUUCCUCCUGUUUUAGGGCCAUAUGCUCUUCCCAAGUUUGAUGUUGAUGACAGCCUCCAGGGGCAUCUAAGGUUUGAUAGUUUGGUUGAAACUGAGGUUUUUUCUUGGCAUUGAAAGUGAAGAAGACAACCAGUGGAUUGAGGAUUUCUCUCAGGGAAGUAGUGGGAUAGAGUUUAGUUCAAGUGCUGCAGAAUCUUGCUCUAUAUCCAGGCGGAGCGAUGUUUGGUCUGAGGCCACAUCCUCGGAAUCUGUUGAAAUGCUAUUAAAAUCUGUUGGGGAGGAAGAAAUCAUUCCAGGUCAAACUAGUGUCAAGGACUCAGGUGCCUGUGAUGAGUUGGGAAGCAUAACUAAGCAAAUGGAGCAUAAUCUGAAACCAGAUAAUAGCAAUCUUUCUAAUGUGGGUAAUGUUAUAGAUUCAGGACCUACAAUACGCCCAUAUGAGUUUCUGGGAAGUUUUUCUGUUCUAAACGAUGCAGGAAAAGAACUACCUCAUAUUGAGGAUACGUCACAAACUCAUGAAGGUGACUCAUUAGCUUACAGAAGUUCAACUGACUUACCUGUCACUGAGGGAAAUAUGUUAAUUGAAAGCAAAGAUGAUGAUGCAAAUCAAAGGGAAAUUGAUACUUUGGUUAAUGAAUCCCUGAAUAACAAUACUCAGGACGAUUUUUCUGCUUCUGGGAUGCAAGUUGAUAAUAUAAUCACCUCUAUGCAUAAUGUCAUGACAAGUGCUGAGGAGUUGAACAAUCAAAGGCUCCUCCAGAUCAUAUAAAUGAUAUUAGUCAUGGCAGUGGAGAUGCCUUAUCAAAAGAUAAUGAUAUGGAUGGAGAGGAGCACAAUGCUUUGAGCAAGGAGGGGCAAAUGAAUGAUAAAGUUCUGGAGGAUUAUUUAGUUGACAGUGGUGCUGGUAACUUGGAGCACCCUCUCUAUUUGGACUCCGAAGAAUCUAGGGGAGAAGGAAAUGCUGUUGAAACUUGUACUAGUAAUGUGGAGGGACCUUCUAGUACGAUCGUGAAGGGUGAUUCUGAACUGAAUGUUGUGGAAGGAUGCAGCGAAGGUGUAAAGGAAUCUGUUCAGGAGAGCAAAUGUGAAAAAUUGGUCUUGUCAAAAGACAUAGAAAUGGUUAAUCAAUUUACAGGAAAUAUGCAUGGGGGCUCACCCAUUGCUUCAAAAGGUGAGAGUAGUUUUUUAGGGCAUGCUGUUGAGGUCAGCAACAGAAAUGCAGAAAAUUGUGCCAUAUUAGAGCAGAAGAUGGACUCUCAUGUGCAACUGACUUAUGGAAAGAGCAGUUUUGUGAAGAAAAAGGAUGAUUUGUUGGACAAGGAACCAAUUGAAUAGUGAGAUUUCAACCAGUCACUUGGACACGUCUCUGUUAUCCGAGGUAACCAAUAAACUUUCUGAAGGUAAUUGUGAUGGAAGUGGAAGCCAUCACAAGGGAGAUAUUUCUAGUAAGCUUGUGGUAUCUUCUUCAGCUGAAUUGCAUGGGGAAUCACAUACAACUGAAAAUGUAAAAUGUGCAAUUGGAGUUCAUGGAGAAGAUAUAAAUGCUGGAGACGGUAUUCCAAUUUCCACUCCAUCUGAGUCUACUCAAAUACUCAUUUAAAAUGCAGUCUCUAGGCAGAGUGGUAUUCAUAACUUUGAUUUAGAUGUUCCUGUUGUUGAGGAUGGGAAUGUGAAGUUGAGUACUGAUUUGAGUAAUAUGGAACAUGAGAUUGGUGGAUCCUUGCCUAUUGGCGAAUGUAGCAGAGAAAAUGACGAUGAUAGUGCUAGCUUUGGAUUGAUUGUUGUGGCAGUGGAUUUUUCUUCUGAACAUGAUACAGUGGCUUUUAUAUUAAAUGAAGGCAAAGUAGAAGAAUUAACUUUGCGGUUGUUUGAAGAGGUGAAGAAGCAGUGAAUUACAGGAGCCUGAACUUUUUCUGGAAGUGUUACUCAGGAUAAGAAGCUGUCCCAUUUCCAAACUAUAUUCAUCAGUAGAAAUAAUGAAGCAUCUAAUUACCUGUAGAAAGGCACCACUGUUUAUGGGCAUUCUGCAUACAGUAUGCAGUUGAGUUGAUAAUUCGUCAUCUGAUAGCACUAUUCUCAAAAGUCCUAUAAACCGAGCAGCAUCAAAGGCAAUGUUGACCCAAAUGAUUAGGCUCAUAUUCAGAAGGACAGAAUUUGAUCCAGACUGUACUUCCUCUGGUUCUGCUGCAAAUAAGGAAGCCACUUUAGCAGAAAGGACUAGUAAUGCACUUUCUCUCAGUAUUGAUACAUCAGAGUCUGAAUUUGGUGAUGUUCCCAAUCGUUUUAUAGCAAUGAGACCUCCUUACUCAUGGCAAACUCAGCUCUAUCAAACAUCUCUCUGUCCUGGGGUGUGACAGACGACCAGAUGUCACUUUCCUAUGGUCUGAAAGCAAACAAAGAAGCUGAUUUUCUGGACUGCACAAGGACCUUUUGGCUCUGAUUUUACAUUAGGUGCCACUUCUUGCCACAAUGGGAGAUAUCCAGAAUGGUUUUAAUGCAACCCAAGCUAGUCCUUGUGGAGGGUCAAGCAAUGUCGAUGGCCAUAUAGUACAGAAUAGUUCUUCCCAUACUGAUAAUAAUCUAGAGAAAGCAGAAAAACCAUUCUCAGAAAAGGGUCUUCAUUCUGAAUUUGGGAGAAAGCCAUUUGUGUUUAAUGAGAAUCCUUGCAGCCAAUAAUGGAAAUGGCUAUUGAUAACUGGCUUUUGAGGCAAAUUCAAUUACUCAGUCAAGGAGGAGUUGUUGCUCAAGGAAUUCUGUAGGUUCAAGAUUUUCUCUGGCCAGAUGGCAUUUCCUCUAAAUCUAUUGGAACCCUUGAACCAAGUAGCUGCUAGUGGCAGUAAGGUCUUUGAACCUGGGCUUUUUGAGCUACAACUUGGGGUGCCGUGUAGGGUUAGAGAUGUCAAGAAAAGCAUCUUUAAUGGAGCUUUGAUGCCAUCAAGUCAGUUUUAAUGAUGACAUCAACAAUGCUGGAUAGAGUUGAGAGCUCUGUUUGAAUACAGUAGUAUCCAGGAUCAGAAACUGAUGCUCUUGCCACAAUUACAUCUUUGAUUAAUGGAAGUGAGCAGCAAUCAGCGAGCUCCCUUGUGCAGGCUGCAGAUAACUGGUUAAGACUGCUGAAGAGGUAAAAGAUAGAGCUCAUGAUGAGCAGGAAAACAUAGAAGCUAAGCUACAGAAGAAUCCAGAAGUGAACUGUGAGAAAAUAGAUGAAUCAGUUGAACUUCUGAGCAAAGACUUGAAACUCCAGAAUGAGUGGCAGUAAGGGAAUCAGAUUUGGAACUGGGUUUUAAUUGCUUCACCACAAUUUCCUGCUAGCAAUGCAAGUUGUGAUUCUGGGAAGCUAGAGUUGGGUUGGAAUGCUUUUACCGAUCAAAAUUAUACACUCAAACCCAGUGAACAUGGACUCUGAAAUGAAUACGGUCAGUUCUUUUCCAGUCAUGUCUGCAAUACACAGAGGUCUCUUCACACAACCACCAGCAAUGCAGUCACAGCCAGACCCUCAAGCCUCAUUCCGACAUGGCCACUUUGGUGCACACGACCCUAUUCCUUCUGCACCCCUCUUGUUUUCCCUGUGAUUUUACAUGUUUUGAAUUAUGUUUUCAAAAUCACCUUCAUCCAAAUAACUCUGAUUUUAAAGAAUCAUCUUUGGACUUUCUUUAGGCAAUAUAAUCCAGAUUUCAAUAAACUUUUGCUGCCAUUUUUCCUUUUGGAGUGCAUUUCCACUAUUUCCUUUGACUUUCAACCAUCUUCUUGAUUUUCUCGAUUUUCCACAAGCAAGAACAAACUUCAUGAUUCCAAACAUCCUCGUGUAAGGUGCCUUCUAUCAGGUACUGGGUUACUGUAUCCUUCACGAUCCUCUACAUCCUUAUGUAAAGCACCUUCCAGGUACUGGGUUACUGCAUCCUUCCUGAUUCUUUUGUUCCAAACACGACCUACACCUGAUGAAUUUCAGCUAUUCCUCGAGCUACUUGUUAUAGUUGCAGUAUCAAAUAUUUCAUUACAAUUCUGAGAUGUCAUCUUCUGUUUCUUUGUUAAUUUUACAAGAUGAUUCUCUAGGUUGGUUCUGCCAUAUUGUCUUCUUCUCAAUUUGCAAUAUGUAUAUAGGCAAAAAGGGUUGGAUGAGCAAUGAGAGGAGCGUAGCCCGAACUUGAGGAGAUGACAUCUGUGUGUGGUCUAUAUUUUUUUUAGAUAGAUCUCCUUAUAUGGUGGAGUAGUUCAUUAUGCCUUCUGAUUAGAUUUUUGUAUUUGUGAGGAGGAUUCCUUGUUUUCUCAUGAAAUCUUCAUAAUUAAUAUAUCUUUUGUUUCUGAUAUAAA